UACGUAUGGUGCGAGCGUUAAUCGGAAUUACUGGGCGUAAAGCGUGCGCAGGCGGUUUUGUAAGUCAGAUGUGAAAUCCCCGGGCUUAACCUGGGAACUGCGUUUGAAACUACAAGGCUAGAGUGUGGCAGAGGGGGGUGGAAUUCCACGUGUAGCAGUGAAAUGCGUAGAGAUGUGGAGGAACACCGAUGGCGAAGGCAGCCCCCUGGGUUAACACUGACGCUCAGGCACGAAAGCGUGGGGAGCAAACAGG
rnacentral:rRNA from 1 species